GGGCUCCUGGCUGCCCGCGUCUCCAUAGCGACCGCCUCUGGCCCGCCUCAGAAAUCAGGGCUCGCAGUGCUGGAUACUGAACGUGGGGCUCUGGCCAUGGUAGGCAAGGUCUGUACUACUGAGCUACAUCCUUGGUCCCAGGGGGGAACUUUUGGAUGUAUUCCCUCCUCUGCUCACUUUCUCCCUGUUUUGCCUCACCCAGGGCACUUCUGGGGCUCUACAUUGAUGGUUUUUUGUUUUUUGGGGAUUUUUGAUACCGGGGAUCGAACUCAGGACCUUGUGCUUUCGAAGCAGCCACCAGAACCACUAAAUCCCUGGCCCUUGUUUUUGUUUUUUAAUUCCACUCUCCUCUGAAAACUCGUUUUUGGAGAAAACUGUCAAUACAGAGACUUGAAUACAGAGCAGGGACAGGGUGGAAAGGAGAAACGGAAGCCCAAAGAGGUGAGGAGGCUUCUUCCCUCCUCAGCAGGUGGCCUCCAGAUCCUGGGUACUAGCCACAUACUAGGCUGCCUGCAGGAGCUGUGUUCAUGUUAUUUCAAAGUGAAGGAGAAACAAUCACAAAAAUGGAUUAAAACCUUUGAGGAAGCCUCCAAAGGCCUCACCUCCAGCCUUUUCUCAUUCCCCAGAUCUUUGCUAGUCUCUGGUGAGCUCUUCAGAUUCCAUUCCUACUUGAGGACCCUGUACCAAGCAGCCUAGCCCCCUUUUGGAGAUCAGCUGCUCAGGAGUCAGGCUGUCUCUUCUGGAAAAGAUAAAUCCUGAGACCCUGGAG
rnacentral:lncRNA from 1 species